AAUUUAUCAGGCUGCGUUCUUUGCACUGACAGCGCUCACGAUGUCUAGUAAGUUUUAAAGCGCCUUCAUACAAAAGCCAAGCAUCAUUCCCUAUACCUAUAUCUGAAGCAAGCCGUUUUAAUUUGGUUAAUCAAAAGAUGAAGAAGAUUAUCCCGGCGGUGAUAAGUGUGAUUAACCAAGCUUCAGGAACGUUAAGGUUCUUGUAGGAGCCGGUUUUAACACCAUUGACCAUUUUGCCAAUGCUCUGACAAAUUGCUGGAAUAUCAGCUGGCGUUGGUGGAGUUAGUUCCAGCUUGGCGUACUUCAAGAAACAAACAUCGAGCUGAGGCCUUACCUGUUUAAAAGUCCCGAUCUCUUUGUAGACAAACUCGCCAUAUUUUCGUGUAAUCAAGUCAAUGCGCGAUGAAACAGAGAAUAUCUGUCGAGUCUUAAAACUGGACAACGAUUAAGUCAGACACCAUACUCUACUGCAUUUCAGUAACUAUAAAGCUGGAAACUGCAGCCCAAUUGCAA